rnacentral:tRNA from 3 species
GCCCUGGUGGCGGAAUUGGUAGACGCGCACGGUUCAGGUCCGUGUGACGAAAGUCGUGGAAGUUCGAGUCUUCUCCAGGGCACCA